CGUAGCGAAAGUUACGCUAAUACCGCAUAUUCUGUGAGCAGGAAAGCAGGGGAUCGCAAGACCUUGCGCUGAUUGAGCGGCCGAUAUCAGAUUAGCUAGUUGGUGAGGUAAAGGCUCACCAAGGCGACGAUCUGUAGCGGGUCUGAGAGGAUGAUCCCCCACACUGGAACUGAGACACGGUCCAGACUCCUACGGGAGGCAGCAGUGGGGAAUUUUGGACAAUGGGGGCAACCCUGAUCCAGCCAUGCCGCGUGAGUGAAGAAGGCCUUCGGGUUGUAAAGCUCUUUCAGCCGGGAAGAAAUCACAUGGGUUAAUACCCUGUGUGGAUGACGGUACCGGAAUAAGAAGCACCGGCUAACUACGUGCCAGCAGCCGCGGUAAUACGUAGGGUGCGAGCGUUAAUCGGAAUUACUGGGCGUAAAGCGUGCGCAGGCGGUUUGUUAAGAUAGGCGUGAAAUCCCCGGGCUCAACCUGGGAACUGCGUUUAUGACUGGCAGGCUAGAGUAUGGCAGAGGGGGGUGGAAUUCCACGUGUAGCAGUGAAAUGCGUAGAGAUGUGGAGGAACACCGAUGGCGAAGGCAGCCCCCUGGGCCAAUACUGACGCUCAUGCACGAAAGCGUGGGUAGCAAACAGGAUUAGAUACCCUGGUAGUCCACGCCCUAAACGAUGUCAACUAGGUGUUGGGUGGGUAAAACCAUUUAGUACCGGAGCUAACGCGUGAAGUUGACCGCCUGGGGAGUACGGCCGCAAGGUUAAAACUCAAAGGAAUUGACGGGGACCCGCACAAGCGGUGGAUGAUGUGGAUUAAUACGAUGCAACGCGAAAAACCUUACCUACCCUUGACAUGUCCAGAAGCUCUUAGAGAUUUGAGUGUGCCCGAAAGGGAACUGGAACACAGGUGCUGCAUGGCUGUCGUCAGCUCGUGUCGUGAGAUGUUGGGUUAAGUCCCGCAACGAGCGCAACCCUUGUCGUUAAUUGCCAUCAUUUAGUUGGGCACUUUAACGAGACUGCCGGUGACAAACCGGAGGAAGGUGGGGAUGACGUCAAGUCCUCAUGGCCCUUAUGGGUAGGGCUUCACACGUCAUACAAUGGUCGGUACAAAGGGUUGCCAACCCGCGAGGGGGAGCUAAUCCCAGAAAGCCGAUCGUAGUCCGGAUCGUAGGCUGCAACUCGCCUGCGUGAAGUCGGAAUCGCUAGUAAUCGUGGAUCAGCAUGUCACGGUGAAUACGUUCCCGGGUCUUGUACACACCGCCCGUCACACCAUGGGAGCGGGUUCCGCCAGAAGUAGGUAGCCUAACCGCAAGGAGGGCGCUUACCACGGCGGGGUUCGUGACUGGGGUGAAGUCGUAACAAGGUA
rnacentral:rRNA from 1 species